GACGGAGGAUGCAAGUGUUAUCCGGAAUCACUGGGCGUAAAGCGUCUGUAGGUGGUUUAAUAAGUCAACUGUUAAAUCUUGAGGCUCAACCUCAAAAUCGCAGUCGAAACUAUUAGGCUAGAGUAUAGUAGGGGUAAAGGGAAUUUCCAGUGGAGCGGUGAAAUGCGUAGAGAUUGGAAAGAACACCGAUGGCGAAGGCACUUUACUGGCUAUUACUAACACUCAGAGACGAAAGCUAGGGUAGACAAUGGGG
rnacentral:rRNA from 1 species